AGACGUAUCCUACGGGAGACAGCAGUGGGGAAUAUUGGGCAAUGGGCGCAAGCCUGACCCAGCAACGCCGCGUGAAGGAAGAAGGCUUUCGGGUUGUAAACUUCUUUUCUCAGGGACGAACAGAUGACGGUACCUGAGGAAUAAGCCACGGCUAACUACGUGCC
rnacentral:rRNA from 1 species